CACCUCUAAGGGUUGCACCUGGAGAGUUUCCAGUACUCUACCUGUCUCGACUAUGGGAGGGAGAGUCAAGCAGAGGCCUAUUCAUUCCAUUCCUAGCUUGGGCAGUGGCUAGUGAGUGAAAGGCAAACUGCUACAAUU
rnacentral:snoRNA from 1 species